GCCUUUGUGGUGUAAUGGUCAGCACGCUUGGCGCGUAUUCGAGAGGGCCAUGGUUCGAGUCCCGACGAGGGCA
rfam:Stegodyphus mimosarum contig12119, whole genome shotgun sequence.